UGUCCCCAUCUAUAAGUAAACCCAUCGAAUAGCGUCCACUGACUUCAUAAAGAAAGAAAAAAAUAUCAGACCAAAAAAUGUCAGAAGAAAAAGUUGUCGUGUUGAACUUCUGGCCAAGCAUGUUCGGAGCAAGAGUGAUCAUGGCGUUAGAAGAAAAAGAGAUCAAAUUCGAGUACAAGGAAGAAGAUGUAUUUGGUGACAAGACCGAUUUAUUGCUCCAAUCCAACCCGGUUCACAAGAAAAUUCCGGUUCUGAUCCACAACGGUAAACCGGUAUGCGAGUCCAAUAUCAUACUCGAAUAUAUCGACGAGGUCUGGAAUAACGACAAGACUCUUCGUCUACUACCUUCUGAUCCUUAUGAGAAGGCAAAGUGUAGAUUUUGGGCUGAUUUAAUUGAUAAAAAGGUUUUUGACGCAGGAAGAAGAACAUGGACGAAGAAAGGCAAAGAACAAGAAGAAGCAAAACGAGAGUUUAUAGAGACAUUGAAAGUAUUAGAAACAGAGCUUGAGGAAAAGGUCUACUUCGGAGGAAACGAAACUGUUUCUAUGGUGGACUUGGUCCUCAUCUCUUAUUACCCUUGGUUCCACACGUGGGAGACAAUAGGUGGUUUUAGCCUGGAGGACCAUACUCCCAAGCUAAUGGAUUGGGUCCGCAGAUGUUUAGCCCGACCAGCUAUCUCAAAAUCUCUACCCGAUCGGCUUAAGAUCCUUGGUCGAGUGUCUCAGAUCAUAAAGCUCCAUGAGUUCUUCUAUGGUUAUUGAUCUAUCAAUAUUUCUCGUUUUUAAAUAAAAUAAUGAUGUGAAUCACAACUCAUGAGUGUGGUGGACCGACUUUCAUUUGUGGUGGUCGUAUGAAAAAAAUUAAUAUGUUUUUUGUUGCUAUAAUUUGAAAAAAAAAAUAUUUAUAUGUCAUGUUUUGUUAUUUUUAAUGAAAUAAGUUUAUUGUC